rnacentral:tRNA from 1 species
UAAUGGCUAUUACCUCAGCCUUCCAAGCUGAUGAUGCGGGUUCGAUUCCCGCUGUACGCUCCA